rnacentral:rRNA from 1 species
CCUACGGGAGGCAGCAGUGGGGAAUUUUGGACAAUGGGCGAAAGCCUGAUCCAGCAAUGCCGCGUGAGUGAAGAAGGCCUUCGGGUUGUAAAGCUCUUUUGUCAGGGAAGAAACGGUGCGGGCUAAUAUCCUGCACUAAUGACGGUACCUGAAGAAUAAGCACCGGCUAACUACGUGCCAGCAGCCGCGGUAAUACGUAGGGUGCAAGCGUUAAUCGGAAUUACUGGGCGUAAAGCGUGCGCAGGCGGUUUUGUAAGUCUGUCGUGAAAUCCCCGGGCUCAACCUGGGAAUUGCGAUGGAGACUGCAAGGCUGGAAUCUGGCAGAGGGGGGUAGAAUUCCACGUGUAGCAGUGAAAUGCGUAGAGAUGUGGAGGAACACCGAUGGCGAAGGCAGCCCCCUGGGUCAAGAUUGACGCUCAUGCACGAAAGCGUGGGGAGCAAACAGGAUUAGGAUACCCUGGUAGUCCACGCCCUAAACGAUGUCUACUAGUUGUCGGGUUUUAAUUAACUUGGUAACGCAGCUAACGCGUGAAGUAGACCGCCUGGGGAGUACGGUCGCAAGNUUAAAACUCAAAGGAUUGACGG